AUUGAACGCUGGCGGCAGGCCUAACACAUGCCAGUCGAGCGGAUGAAGGGAGCUUGCUCCUGGAUUCAGCGGCGGACGGGUGAGUAAUGCCUAGGAAUCUGCCUGGUAGUGGGGGAUAACGUCCGGAAACGGGCGCUAAUACCGCAUACGUCCUGAGGGAGAAAGUGGGGGAUCUUCGGACCUCACGCUAUCAGAUGAGCCUAGGUCGGAUUAGCUAGUUGGUGGGGUAAAGGCCUACCAAGGCGACGAUCCGUAACUGGUCUGAGAGGAUGAUCAGUCACACUGGAACUGAGACACGGUCCAGACUCCUACGGGUGGCAGCAGUGGGGAAUAUUGGACAAUGGGCGAAAGCCUGAUCCAGCCAUGCCGCGUGUGUGAAGAAGGUCUUCGGAUUGUAAAGCACUUUAAGUUGGGAGGAAGGGCAGUAAGUUAAUACCUUGCUGUUUUGACGUUACCAACAGAAUAAGCACCGGCUAACUUCGUG
rnacentral:rRNA from 1 species